AUGCUAUCAAACAUCUUGGUGGAGUUGUUACAGAUUACAAGAAGUUCAAUGCUGAUUUUCAGCAUUGUAUCUAUGAUAUUGAGGGAGGAAGAUGAAUUUAUAAGUGCAUGGAAUGAAAUGCUUGACAAGUAUGGACUCCGGGACAAUGCAUGGCUCCAAAGGUUAUUUGAGAAAAGGGAGCAUUGGGCCCUAGUAUAUGGCAGGAAUACUUUCUCUGCACACAUGAGCAGUAACCAAAGGAGUGAAAGCAUGAACAACGAACUAAAACAUUACAUUAGUUCUAAGUAUGACAUGCUUACUUUUUUUGAGCAUUUCGAACGUCUAGUUGCAGAUAAAAGAUUUGAAGAGGUGAGAUGUGACUUCAAAGCAACACAAAGUACUCCUAAGCUGAAGGCAGAAAGCUAUAUGUUAAGGCAAGCAUCAACUACAUAUACUCCACCAAUAUUCAAGAUGUUUCAGGAACAAGUGCUUCGGACCUUAAACUAUGAUACAUUCCUUUGUGAUGACAGUGACACCGAGGAGAAGGUUUACAAAGUAAAAUUUCCUGGUACAGAGCGUGAUCAUGUUGUUAAAUUUUUUCCAAAAGAAGAAAAGGUCAAUUGCAGUUGCAAGAAGUUUAAAUUUGCUGGAAUUCUUUGCUCUCAUUCCUUGAAGGUACUUGACAUUAAUAAUAUCAAGCACAUCCCUCAACAGUACAUCUUGAAAAGAUGGACAAUUGAUGCAAAAGUUUUGGAUAUAACAAGCAACUGCAACCUGCAUGAAGACCGCAAAACAAUACUGACAAAACGCUAUAAAGAGUUGUGCAGAAUGUUUAUCCAAAUAGCUGCUGAGCCGCAGAGUCUGAAGAGUCAUACUUGAUGGCUGCUAAUUAUGCAGAGAAAUUAGCAGAAGAGGUGGAGAAAUGUCUAAAACAUAGAUCUGAUCCAGAUACAGGUAACUCUGUUUGUUCACAAGGUAUGUACAUUCAGUUUUAUGCUCUCAUCAAGCUUAAAUUUAUAUUUACUUUUAUAGUUGCAGACUCAAACAAUAUCACGACUACAAGUUCAGAACAAAAUGAGAGGCCUACCAAGCCAAAAGGAAUGAAGGUCAAGGAGAAGACGGCUCGAGGAUCAAACAGACAUCCAGAUAUAUGUAACUCCCUUGGCACAAGGUCUGUAAGUUUAGUUUUAUGAUCUCAUCAAACUAACCUAUGUUUGCUUUUAUAGUUACAGACCCGAACAUUAACUCGUCUACAGGUUCAGAACAAAAUGAGGGAUUUGCCAAUCCAACAGGUAACAAGGUUAAAAAGAAGACUGUUCGAGGGUCAAGUAGACCCACUAAUAUGGGUGUGUAGUUUUAUAAUGUUAUCAAACUUGAAUUUUAUUUAAAUAUAUAUUUGCAGAACGAAACAUUAACUCAUGUACAAGUUCAAAACAAAAUAAGGGGCUUGCUAAGCCAAAAG
rnacentral:rRNA from 1 species